AAUGCUCCAUUCGUGCUUUUAAUAAACGACGCUUUAUGACGUACUAGGUGAUGACAGAAACUUGCCAACUUUGCCUAUACUCUAUGUGAACGCC
rnacentral:lncRNA from 1 species